UUGGGGACUGAGAAUGGGUCAUUUUGGUGCCAUCUUUGUCCCAGAUGAGCCCAUCCAGCCAAUUGACCCUGCUGCCUGGGUGUCCCAUUCCGCGGCUCUGACUGGCACCUUCCCAGCCUAUCCAGGCUCCUCCUCCAUGAGCACCAUUACAUCUGGAUCGUCUUUGCCUGAUGGCUGUGAAGGCCGGGGUCUCUCCAUCCAUACAGAUAUGGCAUCGGUGACCAAGGCCAUGGCAGCUCCAGAGUCUGGACUGGAAGUCCGGGACCGCAUGUGGCUCAAGAUCACCAUCCCUAAUGCCUUUCUGGGUAUGGCUGGGUCCUGGGCAGGUGGCUGAGAAGGGGAGGAGGAGGUGACCAAAGCCAGGAAUGGCACAGGCAGAGGCGAGAGCAGGAGUUGGAAGGAGAACCUGAGGCCUUUUUCCACUGUGGGUGCUCCCAGGCUCGGAUGUGGUUGACUGGCUCUACCAUCACGUGGAGGGCUUUCCUGAGCGGCGGGAGGCCCGCAAGUAUGCCAGCGGGCUGCUCAAAGCAGGCCUGAUCCGACACACCGUCAACAAGAU
rnacentral:sRNA from 1 species